rnacentral:rRNA from 1 species
CAGUAGCCGCGGUAAUACGGAGGGGGCUAGCGUUGUUCGGAAUUACUGGGCGUAAAGCGCACGUAGGCGGCUUUGUAAGUCAGAGGUGAAAGCCCGGGGCUCAACCCCGGAAUUGCCUUUGAGACUGCAUCGCUUGAAUCCAGGAGAGGUGAGUGGAAUUCCGAGUGUAGAGGUGAAAUUCGUAGAUAUUCGGAAGAACACCAGUGGCGAAGGCGGCUUACUGGCUCAUACUGGACGCUGAGGUGCGAAAGCGUGGGGAGCAAACAGGAUUAGAUACCCCUGUAGUCCCUGUCUCUUAUAA